rnacentral:rRNA from 1 species
UACAGAGGGUGCGAGCGUUGUUCGGAAUUACUGGGCGUAAAGCGCGCGUAGGCGGACCUGCAAGUCGGGGGUGAAAGCCCGAGGCUCAACCUCGGAACUGCCUUCGAUACUGCGGGUCUCGAGUCCGGGAGAGGUGAGUGGAAUUCCUAGUGUAGAGGUGAAAUUCGUAGAUAUUGGGAAGAACACCAGUGGCGAAGGCGGCUCACUGGCCCGUAACUGACGCUGAGGUGCGAAAGCGUGGGGAGCAAAGCAGG